CUCAAAAUCCAUGGUCCUAGAAGACUUAUGGCCAAGAGUGUUUUCCAUGAGCAUCGCUUCAAGAGAAGUGCAUGAUGUUGUCUUACAACGUCCACUACCUUCAAGAGGAUAAAACCUCCACAGGGAGAGACUAUGGGGAGGCAAGAUUCCCGUUUGCUGAGAGUGAAGGAGAUGCACACAGAUUUGGAGACAGAAGAUGGAAAAAGCAGGAAAGAUGUGUAUAACAAAAACUGCAUGGAGUUAGAGUUAAUUAGAGGCCUCUUGUCUCAUGCCCUGUCUGCGAUGCCCGUGGACACAUACGUACUCCAUAAUAACUGCAUGCUUCACCAGAUCUGACCCAGAGGUGCUGGAGACAAGGAACAGAUACACUUUGCUGGCAAGGAUACAAGAAGUUGGCCGUCUACAAGCCAGAAGAGCGUCCUCACCAGAAUCUGACCGUGCUCGCACCCGAUCUCAGACUUCCAGCCUCCAGAACUGUGAGAAAUAAAUUUCUAUUGGUUAUAAGCCACCCAGUCUCUGAUACUUUAUUAUAGCAAUCUGAACCGACUAAGGCAGCUCCCGCUGUUUAUGGAUUAAAUACCUCAUCCUUACCCCUCCGCAAUACAGUCACAGCUUUCUGUUCCAAUUUUAUCAGUCUUUACAGCAUAUUAUUUCCUCCCCACUUCAUCUGGCAAGUCUCCUCCCUCUCAAUGAAAUGUGUCAUAUACCCUUAGUUUUCAGUUCUGUCUUUUGAAUAAUAUUCAUCUUGUUUUUUGUUUAAUCCUAAUAAUUGAACAUC